GGUUCAAUGGUGCGGGUUACACGCCUGCUAGAUAUUUGUAGCUCACACAGCGAGUCUGCAGGAGGCGCCCGUUCAGCCCGGGCUUGGACUA